UAGGGAAUCUUCGGCAAUGGACGAAAGCCUGACCGAGCAACGCCGCGUGAGUGAAGAAGGUUUUCGGAUCGUAAAACUCUGUUGUUAGAGAAGAACAAGGACGUUAGUAACUGAACGUCCCCUGACGGUAUCUAACCAGAAAGCCACGGCUAACUACGUGCCAGCAGCCGCGGUAAUACGUAGGUGGCAAGCGUUGUCCGGAUUUAUUGGGCGUAAAGCGAGCGCAGGCGGUUUCUUAAGUCUGAUGUGAAAGCCCCCGGCUCAACCGGGGAGGGUCAUUGGAAACUGGGAGACUUGAGUGCAGAAGAGGAGAGUGGAAUUCCAUGUGUAGCGGUGAAAUGCGUAGAUAUAUGGAGGAACACCAGUGGCGAAGGCGGCUCUCUGGUCUGUAACUGACGCUGAGGCGCGAAAGCGUGGGGAGCAAACAGG
rnacentral:rRNA from 1 species